ACCCCAUGCCCUCUGCCAGGACUCAGCUGCACUUUUAGUCAUUCACUCAUAAAUCAUUUAUUGAAUACUUGCAAGUCAUGGACUCUAGGCCUGUCUUCCAGAGGAUAUCUGUAAAACCGGGGGAAGGGUCCUUCCCUGAUAAGACUACCCAUAAAGUGCUUAGCCCUUGUGGGAGCACACAGAUCUUGAGCUGCUGCUGACAUCAUGAUCAUUUUGGAGGUGUACAGUCUAGAGAGCCUACACUCCAGAGCUUAGCUCUGCCUGCACUCUAUGUUGGCCCUGGAGCUCCUAGAGCAGAGAUUCUUCACCAGCCUCAGCCCCAGCCCCUCUCCUCAGGCAGCUUCUCCUGCAGAGCUGUGCCAGGGUCUGGCUCUUUCCCUUAUAUUUCUGGCUUUAGGUAGCAUGAGUCUUGUUUGCUCCCUGCCUCCAAACUCAGGCCUUGGUCAGACCUCCCAGGAGCCCUCUGUGGGAACCAGGUGGGCUUCUCUACCUACUACCUCCUGCUGGUAGCCUCUGGCCUGAAAGGGCUGGGGAGGGGAUAGCUCCUCAGGGUGGUCCUUUGGCCCAAAGCACCUCCUGGGAGCCGGUUAGAAAUGCAGAUUCUUGGCCCUGCCCCAUACUUACUGAAGGAGAAUGUGCAUUCUAACAAGAUCCCCAGAUGAUUCACAAGCAAGUUAAAGUUUGAGAAGCGCUGCUCCAGGGCCUGCUGGCCUGGAAGGCACCAGAGGAAAAUGGAAGCUUGGUCUUCAGGAAAUGCCCAAGGAGCCACCUCCAGGUUCAGGGCCUUAACUCUUCCUGCUUCUGGAGAACUCUCUUGUCCCUGCCUUUAGGGGCCUCUCCCUCUCCCCAAGAAAAGUGGUCUCACUGAAGUUUACCAGGUUCAAGUAUCUGCAGAUAGUAUCAGGGGACUUGACUGGCUCAGCUGUGGGUCCCUUGUGCCCAGCAGAGAGUAGGUGUUUAACUCUGCUUAUGAACUGCAAAACAGUAUUUGCAAUUGGAACACGAUAGCAGUAACGAGGUAAGAACUGAUUUGGGCGCCACUUCCUUGAGAGGGAGUUUCCAGCCCUCUCUGCAAGCAGAAGUGGAUACUUGCGUCAAGGAUGCUGUGGAAGUGCCCCCUACUUUGAUGUAGUAAGAUUCCUGAACCCUCUUCCCAUGAAAGCACUGACACAGGAUGGCAAAUAUAUGGGACACACAUGACCAUCCCCCUUUCCCACACCCUUGGUAGACAUUAAUAAUUGAUUACAGCUGACUUUCUGGCAUGACCUUAGAAUCCUUGACUACAGGGCACCCCAGGGAGCCACUAUCAAUUGAUCAGACAUGGCACUAUUUGUGAUCUCUGCCUCGGGUCUCCCCCCUGGGAGCUGCCCUCUACAGAUCAGGCCAGAUGAGACAAGGCCGCCAGGCUAGUUCCCAAGGACAUCCUCCUCCCUGCAAACCCGAGUGCCUGUGCGACUGCACCUUGUGAAGCCCCCUCUGGAAACGGCCCUCCCCAGCUGUUGAGUAAAGUGCAGCUUCAGAUCUGUCUUUGCCCACACGGGUCCUUCUCACUAGGGGUCAAGGUCAUGUAAGUGGCUCAUCAUGGUGGCCUCUGUGCAGCUCCUCACACCCUGUGUAACUUGGAAUCAGGCACCCACCUCUUCUGGUUUGUCACCCUGUCAAAUGGGAAUGUCCCCAACUGUCAUGCACUGUGUGCCACUCACACAGUGGACAUGAGGACGGCCUAGGAGGUGCCCCCACAUCAGUGCUAAUACUUCCUGCCUGGCAUGAUGCCCUUCGCCUGACUCUGGAGGGCUCCCUCUGCAUAGCUCUGCUCCCUGGGAACCUGAGACUAGUGUUUCCCUGUUCACAGCCAGUGAGGCCUAUGUGCUGGAGUCGAGGCAGGAGUGCAGCUGUGAUACUGGCUGCUCCCCCUGCAUCCAGGCCCCAGUAAACUCCAUCUCGGGGCUUCCCAUGGUGGGUGGGGUGCACUGCAGCAUCCUGCCCCCUAGCACUGCCCCUGCUCCACCCCACUCCCUGCCCAUGGUCCACUCAGCCCCAGCACAGGACUUUCUCCAGAACUACACCCACAUCAGCAGGGAGGAGUCAUUUUCUGCUGCUGGUUUUCAGGUCUGUGAAUCAGAACUGGCUCCUCCAAGAGGCAUCUACACACACACACACACACACACACACACACAAACACACACACACACCCCAACCCCUACCACUAACUUCCUUCUGCUGUCUAAAUCCAGAUUUCAGGUCUGAGGCAAAGUGUCUAUGUGUAAGUUUUGGCUAGGCAUGGUGUCCUCCAUGCCAGGUGAGUAUGGGCAUAUGUCCUCUCCCUAGUCCAUGCAGCCAGGAGCUCUGUGCUGUUUGCUUCUGUAACUUCAGCACCCAAAUGGUGCCUGGCACGACAGGUACUCAGUGCACAUGCGCUGAACACCUUAGCUACAGGACUAGUUCCACGCCAGCAAGGUGAAGGGAUGGAACCCCCUGCCCUGGGUGUGCAUGACUCCUGCUUCCCAUCACUCCACAACUGGACAGCCAGAGACUCAGCCCAGUCAUCUCAGCCUCCCCACCCCCCACCUCCUGACACCUUGACUCCCUUCUGGCCUCAACCCCACAAUGCUCUCAAGAGCAGAGAGGUUAUUCCAUGCCUGCACCCUCCUCCCUGGGUGAUAACAGCAAACACUGAACACAGAAUCUGUGCUGGGCCCUGUGUAAAGUGCUUUACAAAUCUCACUGAAUUCCUUUUUUAUUUUUUUAAUUAAAAAAAAAGUAGAGCUGGGGUCUCACUAUGUUACCCAGGCUGGUCUUAAAUGCCUAGGCUCAAGCGAUCCUCCCGCCUUGGUCUCCCAGUGCUGGGACUACAGGCUUGAGCCACCGCGCCUGGCCUCUGAAUUCUUUUAUUAACCUUACGAUGUAGGAAUUUUUAUCUUUUAUUCUUCAGUCUACAGAUGAGGGAACCGCCUCAGAAAGGUUAAUUAGCCCACUUGGGGCACUCGGCUAGCGUGCGGCACGCUAGGACUCAAGCUCAGCCCGUCUGCCUUCAGAACCAACCAUAUCCUCCACCACUGACUCCUUGAGAUCAAUCUCAUGGCCAAGUUCUUGACCAGCACCAACUUGGCCUGAUAAUUAUUAGUCUGUCUGACAUCUAUCUAUCUAUUGAUUCAGUCUCUGAACUCAGCCUAUGGUUCUGCUUCUUUGAAACCCAAACUCCUUACCCACUGGUCAGGUCCUGUCCUGAGCAUGUGUUAGGACAGGCUGGAGGGAGGUGGCCAACUCAGGCUUGGUUGUUUCUGCAGUGGGCUGGAGGGCGGACUUGGCUCCAUCAAUACCAUUUCCUCUACUGUGACAUCUCUGAGGCUGAGACUGCUGACCACAGGUGAGUCAAGCAUGUAAACGCAUUGUGAAGCCAAACAGAAGUAUCAUUUAGAAUAACCGUAAGUAGCUUUGGCCUCAUUUUGUUCUACGUAAUUGAGAACACAAAAUGUUAACACCACAGGAUCUGUCUUAGACCUGUGGCAUUCACGUGGCUGCAGGAGAGUGAGAUCUGCCCAAGUGGAGGGGGAGCUGGCCUAUCUCCCAGGCCCAGAUGACUCCUAUAGAUUGAAGCUGCCUGCUCACUGAAUUGCAUCAGUAUCACCUGAUCCAUAGCAGUGACUGGGCCCAGGGCCUAGAAUGACUCGAUUGAGCUGGGAUAAUAGGUCUGUAUUGCCUGGCUAGACACAGCCAAGGCCCUCAAGCAGCAGGGUGAGGGACCCUUGUCUCCUGCUGGCCUUGCCUAAGGUUCUGAGGCAGCUGUGAAGAGGUUGGGGGGGUAGGGGCUCUGAAGCCCCUAUCCUACCUUGUGUCAAUUCAAGCCCCAGGCACAGGCACUCUGGCAAAGAUACCUAGAGAUUGUAAGGUCCCAUCAUGUCGUCAGGACUAUUUCAGGGAAAAAAUGUCCUUUAAAAGACCCUGGCACCAAGAACAGCCCAAACUAUGGUGAUAGGGGUAAAAGUUGUUGCUUUCAGGGAUGCUGAUGUUCUACAGUCGAUCCAAAUGGUAGCUUCACUAUAUAUAUUCGCAAAAAUCCACAUAUGCUUAAGAUCUGUGCACUUCCCGUAACUUACACUUUAAUCUGAAGUGAGCAGGGUACCUUGAAGUCAGUGUCUCGUGCAGGCCUGGUCAGCUCUCCCUGUCCUGGAUGGCUGCUUUUUCCCAAAAGGGUGGGGCUUCAGCUGGUCAGUGCCCAGGGCUGGUGAGAACAAAGUCCCUAGUUUUGUGGCCACACGCUAGACUUGGAAUGCAGAGAGCCUUCUGAGAAGAGCCCCACCAGCCAUGAGAGGGCUUUGCUCAGUGAGUUCCCUCAACCAGACCCAUUGUUUAUCAGGUAAACUGUUGAAGUUGUCACCCUGUCCUCAAAACCUUCCUCACCUCCCUGGAAGAGCUUUCUCCUUUGAGUUCCUACACUUUAUUAAUUUAAUAAUGUAAUAGCCAUCUAUAGACCCACCUCCCAGACCAACACACAGAACAUUCCCAGUCACUUAUGUCUCCCCAGCAUCCUUCCUUAUCUCACCCCUGGGGUCCGCUGCCCCACCUGGAGGUGACCACCAUCCAGAUUUCUGUGUUUAUCAUCCCUUUGCUUUUAUGUUUUAUAUACAUAUAUGUGGGGUGUCCACAUGUCCCAGUUUACUGGAGAUAGUGUCAACUUACACUUGCAGUCCAAAUGUCAGAAUUUGUGUUCCUUUUUGCUCGCAAAAACAUCCCUAUUUGGACAAUAAAUUAAAUGAUCACCUAGAUACAUGUAUAUCUAAGCAACGUAUUUUUGGUUUUGAGCUUUAGAAUAAUGGUAUUAUAUGAUAUGAAGUUCUCUGAGAUGUGCUUUAUUCAUUCAACAUUAUUUCUGAGAUUUAUCCUUGCUUUGUGUGGCUACAGUUCAUUUUCAUUGCUGAGUAAUAUUCCAUUGUGUGAAUACCUUGCCAUGCCUGUAGUGUCUCAUUUCUGUUUGUAGGAACAAAGCUGCAGUGCCCAUUCUUGCAUAUGGGUCCUGGUGGUUUUUUUGCUUUUUUUUUGAGACGGAGUCUCACUCUGUUGCCCAGGCUGGAGUGCAGUGGCGCGAUCUAGGCUCACUGCAAGCUCCGCCUCCCGGGUUCACGCCAUUCUCCUGCCUCAGCCUCCCGAGUAGCUGGGACUACAGGUGCCCGCCACCAGGCCUGGCUAGUUUUUUUGUAUUUUUAGUAGAGACGGGGUUUCACCGUGUUAGCCAGGAAGAUCUUGAUCUCCUGACCUCAUGAUCCGCCCGCCUCGGCCUCCCAAAGUGCUGGGAUUACAGGCGCGAGCCACCGCGCCAGCCGGUGGGUUGUUCUUAACACAUGCAAAUAGCCCCUGGCCACAGAACCAGGAGGAAAUUGCUGGGUGAUGGGGCAUGGCCACUGUCAACUCCACAAGCUAAGGCCACAGCAUUUGUACAUACAUCAAUUACAUCAAUUAGGUCUUUCUAUCACCAACAUCUGUUCUCAGUAUACUGUGAGCCCCACGAGGCCAAAGAUAACUCUCCCUUUUUCUCCCAGCCCUUAGAACAGUGCCUGGAGCAGCUCAGGAAAUGCUAAAUGCCUGAAUGUUCAGGGGCUAUGGAUGGCUCAGGGCAGACUCAUUCCCAUCCUGGGGAAAGAAACCUCAAAGAUGUUGCUGCUGGCAGAGCCACAGGAGCAGCCCCAUUUUUGCAUGUGCUGGUUCCUGCAAUGGAUCUGCAGAAAUCCAGGGCACUGUCAACAUGCAGUGGUUAGAAAUAUCUGCCUGCUUGAGGGCUCUGGGCCCGUGACAGGAGUCACUCCUCCGCCCUGUGCAACGACACCCUAGCCUCCUUUGUCUGAACUGGGACCCCAGCUCACCCUGCAGGCCCCCGAGGGCCAGGCCUGCUGGGAUGGAUACCCUCCAAGGCGAAAGCCAUGACGGAGAGAAAAAUCAUAGGCCUGGGGCCGGGAGAUCUGUUUUCUAUUCCUGGCCCUGCCAUUAAUAAACUGGGUGACCUUGGGCAAGUCACUUUGUCUCCCUUCUCAUCCUAUAAAAUGAGUUUGGACAGUGAUAGCCAAUUCUUGAACUUGAGAACUCAUCAGAAUCGCCUAGGAAACUUGUUAAAGUGGAUCCCCAGGCCCCACCCCACGGGGAUUGGGGUAGUAGGUCUGGAGUGGCACUUAGAUACAUGUAUAUUUACAUGACAAUGAAUUUAAAAAGACCACUGAAAACACUCACAAAUGGUUAGAAAAUUCAAUAGUAGAGAUUAUAAUAAAAAGCAGCGCUUCCCAUCCCUAGUGUGCUACCUACAGGCAACCACUUUUAAUCAUGUUUUUGAUCUGAUGGUUACUAUCUUAUUGCUAAAUAAUAAGCUAGUUCUUGUUUUAUCAACUUCAGACAUUACCCAUUGUCUUCCUGCUAUGACAGAUGAGGAGGACUCAGCUCACUUACCCCCCCACCACUCCUAAUAUAGUUCUGGCACUAUUUUUGGAAGCUGUAUUUUAACGAGCACCCCAGGUGAUUCUGAUGUAGUUGGCCUGCCAGCCACACUUAGUGCCUAGUGAGAGCUGGUGGCGACACCAAAGUGCCCAUGGCCCAUUUCUGAAGCCCCUGGUUCUGCUUGGCUUCUGGACUUGCUGGUAGGCCCUGUCCCUACCUGUGGAGGCUCAGAAAGGCUGGGCACAGGGGUCACACAGACAAGCACACUGUUCUGGGAUUGUUGGGGACGGAACUGCCUUGCCCCGUCAUCUUGCUUCCCCUUCUCAUCUCAUGUCACCUUCUGCCCCCAGUUGCAUCAUUAGGAUGAGCAGAUUUCUCCUUUAGGGCCUGACACAGCCCUAGCAGACAGCUCAAUGUCUGACUUCUAAUAAUCAAGGAGUGGUGUAUUCAUACAAUGGACCACACAAAAUGCACAAGCUAAAAUGAACCUAACCACGCAGAUGAAUCUCACAGGUGUGCUGGGUGGAAGACAUCAGGCACAUAAGAAUACAUAUGGUUUGAGUCCCCUUAUGUAAAAUGUAAAGCCACGCAAACCAAGAAAAACAAAUCAACAUAAAAACAUAACAAACAAAAUAGGCCAAAAUCAUCUACUGGGAUAGAAGUCAAGAGGGGUUACUUUUGGGGGUGAGAGCGGCUAUGGAGGGGUGCAUGAGGGGCUGCUGAUGCUUUUUGGUGUGUGUGCUGUUUAUGUGGGUAAUGUUCACUUUGUAUUUGAGCGGUACCCUUUUCAUUUGUGCACCUUUUCGAAUGUGUCUAUUUCCUUAUAAAUGUUACCUCCCUUACAGGAAUGAAGACAAACCAAGCAGCUCUCCUUCCUCCCUCCUAAACUCCCCCUUAAACAAGCCCUUCCCGGAAUAGGACCAGGCAGGCUGAGGAGGCCAGAAACAUCCCUGUGUGGUAGACUGGGGUUGGGGAGGAAGCCUAAAUGGAUGGAUAACAGGUGCUCAAGAGACUUCACUAUUCAACAGGAAAGGUGGAUGGAGAAGCAGAACCCACAAUCCUGAGGCCAAGGUGCAAUUUUUAUAACUCAGGGGGAGUGGGAGGAACCUGUGGAGAGCUUUUUCUGGCUACUGGUGCAAGGGCUGGUGCUGAGUGGACAGCUACAGAUGAAAAUAGAACAUGCCAAUGUGUGCGCACUCUGUGAGUGCCUCCUUCAAAUCUGCACCCUUGGCGCGUGGCUUGCCUCACCCUGGUCCCAGCCCUAUCCAGGUCACACCUCAGGAACUUGGCAGAUGUGAUACCGAGAGAAACACCAAGUUGGGGUCAAAACCAGACAAGCUGCGGUAGCGCCUUCCUGCCUGGUGACUGAUCUGACCUUUGUCUCAACCAGCCUUGGCAGAGAAAAAACUCAGAAGUGGGAAGGCUCAGGCAUAAUUUCAAUUGGAAAACUAAGGAGGGUUUAUCCUUGGGUGCAGAUGUAACCAAGGCAACUGUGAAGACCGUGAGAUGAUUUCAGACCCUUUCACAAAAGAGUGGGCUGGCAUCUUGCCCUCUGCCGAUUGUGUUCACUGUGAAUACACAUCGCACCCUACCAGAAGCACCUUGGAGGUCAAGAAAUAAGUGAGAUGGGCAUUCUCUUCUUGAUGGAUAAAAAUAAAAUCAGAGACCAUGGUGAGAGUGUGCUUCUCUGCUGGGGGCAGGACAGCUUCUCCAGGAGUGGGGAUGAUGAAGAGAUUCACACCAAGUCAUCAUCCACACCCCUCCUGACUUCCUGGGCCCCCUAAGGGGCUGCAUGUAGUCAAGGGAAGCACAGUUUACUGGACCAUAAAGGGUCUGAUUCAGACAGUGUAAGCGCUUGUUCUGGCUAAGCCGGAGGCGCUGCAAGUAGAAACUGUGAGUCCCCACGAGGACCAAGGGAAACUAGUGUUUCUGGAGUUGAACUGACUCAACAUUUCUCCCCAUGGCCCCUCCCUGGCUCUUCCUACCCUCACCUAACUAUAGCGCACCUUGAGUAUAAGCAGCACACAUGAGAACCCCGUAAGAGCCCUGGCCAGAACAAGUGUGUGUUACGGCAGGACCUCCAGCUGAGGAAUGAGAUCCAGCCAGCCAGGCCCUACCACCUCCACUGACUGUCCCUGUAGCCCCCAAGAUCAAAGGGUCAAUUUUAUAUGGCAGCUUGGAGCAUCACCCCAGAUCAGAAUGUUGGUGGGAUGUGGGGCUGUCAGAAAGACGUGCCACCAAGUUUCACCAAAGUAUGUGCCAGGGAGGGGCGGGGGCACACAGGUAAUGCCGUCAGUGGAGGAAUAAUGAGGCGCUGGACACCAUGGGUGUGGGGAGUGGUGACUCUCACACUUGACUUUCUCUCCCCGGGACUCCUGGCCUCACACCACCAUGGCUCCUCCCUCAUGGGCUACACGCAGCCUGAGGAUUCUGAGCUCCAGGGCCAGUUCUACCUGAGGACUUUUGGGGAGAGCUUAUCAAGUCAGACAUGAGCAAUGGCUAACCUGGAGCAGACAGGCCUCUCACCUGGGACCUGGGUCCCUCUUGGAGAAGCCGGCCCUCCUAGCUCUGUUCUCCGGAGAGGAACCAGGGGGCCUGCGUUCUAACCCACUCUAUCCCAGACACAGCAGGAAUUAGGGAAAUCACCUCAUUGCUCUCAGCUGAUUCCUUUUGAAUCCUUUCUUGGGGAUCUGGCAGGGUCUGCCUAAGGCCAGACCCAGCAAUUCACAGUGGGUAAAUUGUCCUGGGUGCUGCUGGCCAAGCUGCUGUAACUCUCUAAGGUCCUUGAAAACAGCCAUGUGCAAGAAGUCAAAAAAGACCUGUAGCCUCCUGCAUGAUGGCCAUGGUGCCAAGUGGUGCCCACUGGGUCCAGGAGUUGCUUGCUCAGACUCUGAAGAUCUGCCUUGCUUUCCCCAGCUGGCUCUAUUUCUAGGGAGAAUGUCCAGGCAUUUGGAUGACUAUCUUGGGGGUCAUUCAAGUGUCCAGGUCUCCUCCUGGGUGAAGCUGCCAAGACUCCAUGCUCUGGACCACACUGUGAUCAAUAAGGGCUGCAGACAGCACGUACUAUUUUAUUGGGCCUCAAAAGCUUUAAAUACAGAAUGGG
rnacentral:lncRNA from 10 species